GCCUCUGUAGCAAAACGGUAAUGCUGAGGUCCUAAGUUCCUCUAUAAGGAGUUCAAUUCUUCUCUGAGGCU
rnacentral:tRNA from 1 species